UACGUAGGGACCGAGCGUUGUCCGGAAUCAUUGGGCGUAAAGAGCGUGUAGGCGGCUCGCUAAGUCUUGCGUGAAAUCUCGGGGCUCAACCCCGAGCGGUCGUGAGAAACUGGCGGGCUAGAGUGCGGGAGAGGAGAGUGGAAUUCCUGGUGUAGCGGUGAAAUGCGCAGAUAUCAGGAAGAACACCCGUGGCGAAGGCGGCUCGCUGGAACGCAACUGACGCUGAGACGCGAAAGCGUGGGGAGCAAACAGG
rnacentral:rRNA from 1 species